rnacentral:lncRNA from 1 species
CAUUGCUAAGGCUUUACCCACAUUCGGAAAGGAAGUAUCUGCAAACAGGAUCUUUUACCAACCCCCACCUCUAUCGGUAAAUACCUCUUGUAGAGUCACAGGAGUGUUCUGCUAAACUGGGAGAGGCUCAUCAUUUUAUCAGGAGUCCAAAGAGUACUUGGCAACGAUAAGGGAUCCAUGCCCAAGUUAUGAACUAACUUUGCCAGUGGAAAGGAGAGAGAAUGCAAAAGCAGAGAUUAGCCUGAUUAUAUAUAAGAGGCUUUGUUAGGGCUCUGUUCCAAUCUCGUUUAAGUCAAUGGAAGCAGUAUGAGGCCCUUACUGUGAGUAGG